rfam:Gossypium raimondii Chr03_contig_198, whole genome shotgun sequence.
UGUUAAAAUUUCAUUCAAUUCUAGAGUUAAAAGCUGACAUAGCUAAUAGAUUAACUAAACAAUGAUAUGUAGCGUGCUAUAUGUAUCUCAUGACAUACACGGACUAUUUUUUAAUAAUAAAAAUAGAUGGAAUUUUUAACA